rnacentral:rRNA from 1 species
GAGCGCCUCGCAAGAGGAGCGGCAGACGGGUGAGUAACGCGUGGGAAUCUACCGUACCCUACGGAAUAGCUCCGGGAAACUGGAAUUAAUACCGUAUACGCCCUUUGGGGGAAAGAUUUAUCGGGGUAUGAUGAGCCCGCGUUGGAUUAGCUAGUUGGUGGGGUAAAGGCCUACCAAGGCGACGAUCCAUAGCUGGUCUGAGAGGAUGAUCAGCCACAUUGGGACUGAGACACGGCCCAAACUCCUACGGGAGGCAGCAGUGGGGAAUAUUGGACAAUGGGCGCAAGCCUGAUCCAGCCAUGCCGCGUGAGUGAUGAAGGUCUUAGGAUUGUAAAGCUCUUUCACCGAUGAAGAUAAUGACGGUAGUCGGAGAAGAAGCCCCGGCUAACUUCGUGCCAGCAGCCGCGGUAAUACGAAGGGGGCUAGCGUUGUUCGGAAUUACUGGGCGUAAAGCGCACGUAGGCGGAUAAUUAAGUCAGGGGUGAAAUCCCGCAGCUCAACUGCGGAACUGCCUUUGAUACUGGUUAUCUUGAGUAUGGAAGAGGUAAGUGGAAUUGCGAGUGUAGAGGUGAAAUUCGUAGAUAUUCGCAGGAACACCAGUGGCGAAGGCGGCUUACUGGUCCAUU